GACGAACGCUGGCGGCGUGCUUAACACAUGCAAGUCGAACGAUGAAGCCGGAGCUUGCUCCGGUGGAUUAGUGGCGAACGGGUGAGUAACACGUGAGCAAUCUGCCCUUGACUCUGGGAUAACUGCGGGAAACUGUAGCUAAUACCGGAUACGACACCUUGGGGCAUCCCAGGGUGUGGAAAGAAUUUCGGUCAAGGAUGAGCUCGCGUCCUAUUAGCUAGUUGGUGAGGUAAUGGCUCACCAAGGCGACGAUAGGUAGCCGGCCUGAGAGGGUGAACGGCCACAAGGGGACUGAGACACGGCCCUUACUCCUACGGGAGGCAGCAGUGGGGAAUAUUGGACAAUGGACCAAAAGUCUGAUCCAGCAAUUCUGUGUGCUUGAUGAAGGCCUUCGGGUUGUAAAGAGCUUUAAGUAGGGAAGAAGAAAGUGACGGUACCUACAGAAUAAGCGACGGCUAAAUACGUG
rnacentral:rRNA from 1 species